AUAUAAAAGUAUAAUAUUAUUGAUAAGGCUAGUGACUGAAAUAAGAAAGUAAUAAUAAAAUUCUAAUCUUCCGUGAAGGGCUACGAUGAGAGGGUAAUGUGUGGUUGAGGUUUGUUUCAGGUUGUUUGAAGUAUGGGAUGACGGUUAAUCAUCACCAACUUUUACCUACUUCUUCCUUCAUGUGGAAGUCCAAGUUCUACCAAACCUUCUACUCAUUUAUUUGGGAACAUUUUGUGUUGGUUCAAGACAAUGAAGAUGGGCGAUAAGAAAAGUGUUUGGCAUGUUGUGUGAUAUUUAAUUUUCAUCCAAAAUGGAUUGGAUAAGAUGUCUUAUGGAACCCUUUUAAGAGAUUUCUUGAGCAUCAUCUCGAUCAAGAGAGGAAGAUCUGUAAGCUUAUGUUUUAAAUUUGGUGACGUGUUUUGUUGGUGGAUUUAAAUCAUAUUUAUGAUUGCUAAUAUUUGUUAUUUGAAAUUGAAUUUGAAGACAUUUGUGUGGUUUAAGUGUUGACGUUGUUGCAACCUUAUGAAAUGGUGACUGCUGAUUCAGCAGUUAAGACUUAGUUA